rnacentral:rRNA from 1 species
GCGAAAACUUUAAAAUGCGGGAAACCGUGAUAGGGGAACUCUGAGUGCCCGUUAAAUCGGGCUGUCCACCAGUUUAAACAACUGGUGAAGAAAGGGCCGGGCAAGACCGGUGCCAGCCGCCGCGGUAAUACCGGCGGCUCGAGUGGUGGCCACUAUUACUGGGCUUAAAGCGUUCGUAGCUGGUUUGUUAAGUCUCUGGGGAGAUCUUCCGGCUUAACCGGAAGGCGUCUCAGGGAUACUGGCAGACUAGGGACCGGGAGAGGUGAGGGGUACUCCAGGGGUAGGAGUGAAAUCCUGUAAUCCUUGGGGGACCAACUGUGGCGAAGGCGCCUCACCAGAACGGCUCCGACAGUGAGGGACGAAAACUGGGGGAGCAAACC